rnacentral:rRNA from 1 species
UGAAUACGAGACGCUAAGGCGUCGAAGUAGUGUAUGUCAUACUUCCAAGAAAAGCUUGCACUGUCAUAGAUAAAAAACGCCUGUACCAUAACCGACACAGGUGGGUAGGUAGAGUAUACUAAGGGGCGCGACAUAACUCUCUCUAAGGAACUCGGCAAAAUAACUCCGUAACUUCGGGAGAAGGAGUGCCUUAUUCGUAAGGUUGCAAUAACAAGAUCCAAGCAACUGUUUAUCAAAAACACAGGUCUCCGCUAAGUCGUAAGACGAUGUAUGGGGGCUGACGCCUGCCCAGUGCCAGAAGGUUAAAGAAGUUGGUUAGCAAUUGCGAAGCUGAUAACUGAAGCCCUGGUGAACGGCGGCCGUAACUAUAACGGUCCUAAGGUAGCGAAAUUCCUUGUCGGGUAAGUUCCGACCCGCACGAAAGGCGUAAUGAUUUGGAUACUGUCUCGGAGAGGGGCUCGGUGAAAUAGACUUGUCUGUGAAGAUGCGGACUACCUGCACCAGGACAGAAAGACCCUAUGAAGCUUUACUGUAACUUGAAAUUGAAAUUGGACUUUAUUCGCGCAGUAUAGGUGGGAGGCGUUGAUUAUAAUCUUGUGGGAUUAUUGGAGCCAUCAGUGAGAUACCACUCUUGUAAUGUUAGAUUUCUAACUUUGAAUCAUUAUCUGGUCAAAGAACAGUUUCAGGCGGGCAGUUUUACUGGGGCGGUCGCCUCCUAAACGGUAACGGAGGCGUACAAAGGUUUCCUCUGAACGGUUAGAAAUCGUAUCUAGAGUGUAAAGGCAUAAGGAAGCUUGACUGUGAGACCUACAAGUCGAGCAGGGACGAAAGUCGGUCUUAGUGAUCUGACGGUACUGAGUGGAAAGGCCGUCACUCAACGGAUAAAAGUUACUCUAGGAUAACAGGCUGAUCUCCCCCAAGAGUUCACAUCGACGGGGAGGUUUGGCACCUCGAUGUCGGCUCAUCGCAUCCUGGGGCGGUAGUACGUCCCAAGGGUUGGGCUGUUCGCCCAUGAAAGCGGUACGCGAGCUGGGUUCAGAACGUCGCGAGACAGUUCGGUCCAUAUCCGGUGUAGGCGUUAGAAUAUUGAGAGGAGCCUUCUUUAGUACGAGAGGACCGAGAAGGACAUACCUCUGGUGUACCAGUUAUCGUGCCAACGGUAAACGCUGGGUAGCUAUGUAUGGAGUGGAUAACCGCUGAAAGCAUCUAAGUGGGAAGCCCACCUCAAGAUAAGUAUUCUCAUC